GCGUCUGGGAUCACUUUAAAGUUACCUGCCUGUGCACCUGGCCCAUGAGGGGAGAGAAGGAGUUCACCGUGUGUCCUCAGCUUCCAGCACCUUGAUUAGCGCGUUGCCCGGGGACACGCCGGUGACCCGAACCACAGGGCCCCCAGAUGCAAAUACCCCUGGGAGAAGCAACAGAAUCUCACCAAGAAUAAUUUCAUUCAGUCUUUUCUGUAAAGCCGACUGAGCAAAGUCAAGAAUUCUGCAUUUCUGAAGUACUGUUCUAAUGCUUCCUCCGUGAGUGAGUCGGCAUGAAAUCAGCUUGGAAGGUACAGAUGGAUGGCUGUCCCUGGCAGCUCUCUCUGACCAUGUGGGCUCCUUUCACUGGGCACAACUUGGAGUCAAUUGCUUGCAAUUUUGUAGAUGAAGAAGAGAAAGCAAAAAGGACAUUGGGAUCUUACAUGACCAGGCUAAAAGGAGGCACCUACCUUUUGCCUGUAUUCAAUCUGUCAGAAGUCUGUGGUGUGACCAACCUGACU